rnacentral:snoRNA from 1 species
GAAAGAUGAACCUCAGAUGACGAGUCUGAUAUCAUUGCUGGCUGCGUUCCGCUGUCCAGCUUGUUUUGAUGCAUAAAUCAUAAUCAAACCAUUCAUGCUUCCUGACC